CCUACGGGUGGCAGCAGUGAGGAAUAUUGGUCAAUGGGCGUAAGCCUGAACCAGCCAAGUCGCGUGAGGGAUGAAGGUUCUAUGGAUCGUAAACCUCUUUUAUAAGGGAAUAAAGUGUGGGACGUGUCCUGUUUUGUAUGUACCUUAUGAAUAAGGAGCGGCUACCUCCGGGCCAGCAGCCGCGGUAAUACGGAGGAUCCGAGCGUUAUCCGGAUUUAUUGGGUUUAAAGGGUGCGUAGGCGGCCUUUUAAGUCAGCGGUGAAAGUCUGUGGCUCCACCAUAGAAUUGCCGUUGAAACUGGGAGCCUUGAUUAUGUUUGAGGCAGGCGGACUGCGUGUUGUAGCGGUGACAUGCUUAGAUAUCACGCAGAACCCCGAUUGCGCAGGCAGCCUGCCAAGCCAUGCCUGACGCUGAUGCACGACAGCGUGGGGAUCAAACAGGAUUAGAUACCCGUGUCGUC
rnacentral:rRNA from 1 species